rnacentral:rRNA from 1 species
AGUGAACGCUGGCGGUAGGCCUAACACAUGCAAGUCGAACGGCAGCACAGUAAGAGCUUGCUCUUACGGGUGGCGAGUGGCGGACGGGUGAGGAAUACAUCGGCAUCUACUUUUUCGUGGGGGAUAACGUAGGGAAACUUACGCUAAUACCGCAUACGACCUACGGGUGAAAGCAGGGGAUCUUCGGACCUUGCGCGAUUGAAUGAGCCGAUGUCGGAUUAGCUAGUGGGCGGGGUAAAGGCACACCAGGGCGACGGUCCGUAGCUGGUCUGAGAGGAUGAGCCGCCACACGGAAACUGAGACGCGGUCCAGACUCCUACGGGAGGCAGCAGUGGGGAAUAUUGGACAAGGGGCGAAAGCCUGAGCCAGCCACCCCGCGUGGGUGAAGAAGGCCUGGGGGUUGAAAAGCUCUUUUGUGGGGAAAAAAAAUCAGCAGGUUAAUACCCCGAUGUUCUGGCGGUACCAAAAGAAUAAGAACCGGCAAACUGCG